AACGAACGCUGGCGGCGUGCCUAACACAUGCAAGUCGAACGCGAAAGUCCUUCGGGAUGAGUAAAGUGGCGCACGGGUGAGUAACACGUAGGUGACCUGCCUUUUAGAGGGGAAUAACCAGAAGAAAUUUUGGCUAAUGCCGCAUACGAAGCACGGUUUUAAGACUGUGUUUGAAAGAAUGCCUCUGCAUAUGCAUUCGCUAAAAGAUGGGCCUGCGGAACAUUAGCUAGUUGGUGGGGUAGAGGCCUACCAAGGCAACGAUGUUUAUCCGGUCUGAGAGGAUGAUCGGACACAACGGAACUGAGACACGGUCCAGACUCCUACGGGAGGCAGCAGUGGGGAAUAUUGCGCAAUGGGGGAAACCCUGACGCAGCAACGCCGCGUGAGUGAGGAAGGACUUCGGUCUGUAAAGCUCUGUUAAUGUGGAAAAAUGGCAGUUGGUCUAAUAGGCCGAUUGUUUGAUGGUACACGUAGAGGAAGCACCGGCUAACUUCGUGCCAGCCGCCGCCGUAA
rnacentral:rRNA from 1 species